rnacentral:misc_RNA from 1 species
UCCGGUUUAACACCGGCAGUCCCUCUAGAGAUCCACUUGCGUAGCAACUAAAGGCGAGGGUUGCGCUCGUUGCGGGACUUAACCCAACAUCUCACGACACGAGCUGACGACAGCCAUGCAGCACCUGUGCAUCUCCCACCCGAAGUGAAGAGGCCGAUUUCUCGGUCUCACAGAGAGCAUGUCAAAGCCUGGUAAGGUUCUUCGCGUUGCCUCGAAUUAAACCACAUGUUCCACCGCUUGUGCGGGUCCCCGUCAAUUCCUUUGAGUUUUAAUCUUGCGACCGUACUCCCCAGGCGGGGUGCUUAACGCGUUAGCUGCGCCACUGAGAGGUAACCCCCCAACGGCUAGCACCCAUCGUUUACAGCGUGGACUAC